rnacentral:lncRNA from 1 species
AGGAUUUUCCCACCUCAACCUCCCAAGCAGCUGGGACUACAGGAUGUGGUCAUGCCUUCGUCCAGAGUAUCCAUGCCAUAUACGAUACCUGCCCACUCGUCACUUUAGUGGCUGUCUUGGUGAUCAGAUUGAUACUCAGUGUACUCAACAAGCAGUAUGGUACCAGCCCCGGCCAAUCAGAACAGACGCCGACCCAUAAGAAAGACCCUGUCCCACCUGCUGAAUGAGUGCGUGCCAGCUGAACA